rnacentral:lncRNA from 1 species
GUCGCCCGCACGCCUGCCUCGGGCGCGCGGGGCCCGGAUCCCGCGGGUUGGGGUCUUCACCCUUCCUGUGGUCGGUGGGUGGGAGGGUCUGGCCCCGAGCCCGGGAAGGGAGAGCAGAGCUGGCCCCGGGACCCAGCGCGCGGUCGCCCUCUGUCUUGACCCCUGUCUCUGCGAGGCUCUGGGCUCCUGAGUGACUGAAGAGUGGUUUGCAUGAAACCGUGGGCUGUGUCCACACCAAGCUCCUUGCACACAGGCGUGCAAUACCAGUUUUUUUCAGUUAAGAGCUUUCGAUCGUGCAAGUUCAAGGGAGGGACUUCUCAAAGAGACAAAGCCCUUAGGUGUGUUCUGUGCAACGGGUGUGCUCCACUGACCCAUAACAAAGUUGCCAGAAUCGCAGAAGUGCCAUAUACGGACAAGGAAAACGAGAUGAGAGGGAGGGAUAAAGUUGAGAGGCGGAUGUUUGUUAUUAUCCAUUCUGCAUACAAUUUUACCAAACAAGAAAGUGGCAUUGUGGUUUGUGUUCCCAUGUCUUCUGCUAAAUUUCCCCUUCUCCCGGGGUUGCAGGUUAGAACCAAAAGCUCAUGGCUGGGUACGGUGGCUGUAGCCUGUAAUCCCAGCACUUUGGGAGGCCGAGGCGGGCGGAUCACUUGAGCCCAGGACUUUGAGGCCAGCCUGGGCAACAUAGGGAGACUCCAUCUCUACAAAAAAUACAAAAAUUAGCUGGGCAUGGUGGUGCGCGCCUGUAGUCCCAGGUACUGGGAGGCUGAGGUGGGAGGAUCACUUGAGCCCCAGAGUUCAUGGCUGCAGUGAGCUAUGAUCAGGCCACUGCACUACAGCCUGGGUGACAGAGCUAGACACUGUCUCAAAACACACACACACACACACACACACACACACAGAAAAAGCUCAUUAUGCGCUUUCUCCAGCAAACAAACUCCUCUCUGUUAGCAUGUUAUAGAAAUAAACUGGUAUUAUUAGAAAGAGGGAAAACUAGGUUUAUCAAACUUGUUUUUUACCCACUACCUUGUUGUUGUUGUUGUUGUUUUUUGAGACAGGGUCUCACUCUGUCACCCAGGCUGGAGUGCAGUGGCACGGUCUUGGCUCACUGCAACCUCCACCUCCCAGGUUCAAGUGAUUCUCGUGUCUCAGCCUCCUGUAUAGCUGGGAUUACAGGCGUUAGCCACCACACCCAGCUAAUUUUUGUAUUUUUGGUAGAGAUGGGGUUUCGCUGUUUUGGCCAGGCUGGUCUCAAACUUCUGAGCUCAGGUGAUCUGCCCGCUUCAGCCUCCCAAAGUGCUGGGAUUUCAGGCCUAAGCCACCGCUCCCAGACCCCACUACCCAUUUUCAUGUACAAGUUCUUUUUUAUUUUUAUUUGAUUCUUCAUCAAUCAACUUGAACAAAUUCUUUUAAUACUGUGUGUGUGUGUGUGUGUGUGUGUGUCCCAAGGAAAGUAGGCUCUGGGCCAUUGCUACCAUCCCCUGCAGCCUUGUGCCUGUCCUAAGGUCACAGUCUUCGGAACAGAGCCUUCUACCUAGAGCGCCUAGACAUACCUGCCUGCCUGCCCGCCUGCCUGCCUGCCUGCCUGCCUCGGAUGACCCUAGUGAAAGCAGAGUCUCUCCUGGGCAGGAUUCAAGGCAUCACAUCUGUCAAAUAAAAGGAUGGUCCUAGGUCAUUUCUAUGGCACCUUGCGGCUCUUUCAGUUAUCCUCAAGAAAGACCCAAGAAUAUAAGCAAUGUUUAAGCAAUAGCAGUAGAGCCACAAUCCAGCUGUUUCCAUUUGUAGAUGAUUGUCACAGAGAGUGAAUGCCUGGGUCUGAAUUAAUCCAUCCAGUCUCUAAUGCUCCCAAGUAAUCCCCAUUCUUCUGCCAAUCCCGUUAGUAUUUCCCCCCUAUUCAAAGAGUCUCCUCUCUAAACAAAACCAGACAUCACUCUCUGCUUACCUGGGUGCAGGCUCCUGUUCUUAUCCCCAGGUGUUCCUGACCUGGAAACCUUUCAUUGCUUAAUUUUGUUGUUUUUCUCCCCGCCCCGACGGCUGGUUCUUCGUUGGCUUGACUGUUUCCUUAAUCUUUGAGUCAGGAGGUUGCUUCUGGAGGUUUCUGAAAGGCAUUUUGUUCAUUCAUUAACAAGUACAGAUGCUCCUUGAUGUACAAUGGGGUUACAUUCUGAUAAACCCAUAAUAUGUUGAAAAUAUGUCAAAAAUGCAUUUGCGGAGGCCGGGCAUGGUGGUUCAUGCCUGUAAUCCCAGCACUUUAGGAGGCUGAGGUGGGGGGAUUACCUGCGAGCAGGAGUUCGAGACCAGCCUGGCUAACAUGGUGAAACCCUGUCAACUAAAAAUACAAAAGUUAACUGGGUGUGGUGGUGUGCACCUGUAGUCCCAGCUACUCGGGAGGCUGAGGCACAAAAAUCACUUAAACUCGGGAGGCAGAGGUUGCAGUGAGGCGAGAUUGUGCCACUGCACUUCAGCCUGGGCAAUAGAGCGAGACUGUGUCUUAAAAAAAAAAAAAAAAAAAAAAAAAAAAAAAAAAAAACAACGGAAAAUGCAUUUACUACACCUAAGCUACCAGCCAUUAUAGCUUAGCCCAGCCUACCUUAAAUGUGCACAGAACACUUUCAUUACCAUACGGUGGGGCAAAAUCAUCUAACACAAAGCCUAUUUUACGAUAAAGUUAUUAUAAAGAAUUUUGAAUCAAAAUUCGAAAUUUGAAGUGUGGUUUCUACUGAAUGUGUGUCGCUUUCCUACCAUAACAUCAAAAAAUCGUAAGUCAAACCGUCAUAAACUGGGACCAUUUGAAAUUGCUAGAUAUACCCAAUAGUAUCUUUCACCACAGCUGCACAAAGGGGACCUUCCUACCUGGAAGCUCAUGUUUUACUCAUUCGGCAAACAUUGGCCACCUGCUAUGUGGCUAGGAACAAGGAAUACAAAAUAAAUCUAUUACAGCUUCAGCAUUCCAGAGGGUCAGUUAACUGGAUGAAACAGACAUGAGCAACUGACAAUGAUACAGUGAUGGGGAUGUGUAUAGCAGGCUAGAACAUAGAUGACAGAACAAUUCUACAUAAGAAGAGAAAUGGAGACAUCUCGAGUCACAGAUGAUCUUAAUCUAGAGCUUAAAGCCAACGUUCAAGUUUGCUGGGCAAAGUGGUGAGGAAGGGCAUUAUAGAUAGAAGGAACAGCUGCACAAAGGCAUGAACGUGAAUGGCAUUUUCCAGCACCAUUUUCAAUAAAAAUGUACUUAUGGAGCUGCUUGUAUACUCUAUCCAUACAACUUACUCCAUUAAAAGUUGAUAAAAGUCCGGGCACAGUGGCUCACGCCUGUAAUCCCAGCAUUUUGGGAGACCAAGGCGGGUGGAUCACCUGAGGUCAGGAGUUUGAGACCAUCCUGGCCAACAUGGUGAAACCCCAUCUCUACUAAAAAUACAAAAAUAACCUGGGUGUAGUGGCAGGCGCCUGUAAUCCCAGCUACUCGGGAGGCUGAGGCAGGAGAAUCUCUUGAACCCGGGAGGCGGAGGUUGCAGUGAGCUGAGAUUGCACUGCUGCCCUCCAGCCUGGGCGAUAAGAGCAAGACUCUAUCUCAAAAAAAAAAAUUUUUUUUUUUGAUAAAAGCCUGGGCAACAUAACGAGACCCCCAUCUCUACAAAAAAUUUAAAAAUUAUCUGGGUGAGGUGGUGCAUGUCUGUAGUCCCAGCUACUCAGGAGGCCAAGGUGGGAGGAUGGCUUGAGCCCAGUAGCGCAAGGCUGCAGUGAGCUAUGAUUGUGCCACUGCAUUCCAGUCUAGAUCACAGAAUGAGACCCCAUGUCUUUAAAAAAAAAAAAAAAGUUGAUUAAAAAUAACAAAAAGCAUUUGCCCACUUAAAAAUCAUCAGACGCUAUCAUAUUGAACUUAAGAUAUAUCAUCUUCCCUUCCUUUCAUCAUGUAUCACAUUCCUCGAAAAUACAAUCUUCUAAAGCUAUCUGGAACAAACAGAUGCAAAAUGUCAAACAAUUCUGCUGAAACAGAGAUGGAACUCGGUGAGCCUCCUCAAGUGUCCUCUUUGCAAUGGCUUUACACAGAGCAGUUUUGACCCUGCUUUCUAGGUAGCAUUUGACUGCUUUUAUUUCCCAGAAAUGUAUCAGUUCCCUGAGUCAGUGUUAUUGGGCAUUUGAAAUAUUUUCCAGUGGGCAAAUCUGUCUUUGGAUCUGACUGCAGUAGUUCUUAACCAGUUUCUGAGUCCCAAACCUCUUUGACAAUCUGAUGGAAACUCUGGACUCCUUCCUCCAGAAAAAUUCAUAUGUGCAAAUACACAUCAAAAUUUGCCUCUGAUUUCAGUGGGUUUAUGAUCACCUGAAACCAAUUUAUGAAUCCUGUAAGGGCCUGUAGUCCCUAGAUU